UGGAUGAUACCUUUACCGGAUCAUACUAACGCUACUAAAAAAAUAUGUUUUUUGCCUUGAUUAAAGUAAUUUAACAGGGACGAAAAG
rfam:Listeria monocytogenes EGD-e, complete genome